CCCAAAUUUGACUUCUUUCCACCUUGAGGACAAGGUGAGUUUUUCACGAGGGGAGUAUUGAUACAAACCGAAAUGAAGAUUAGUGAGCCUUUGUGGGCUUUGACUUGGGUUUAGUGUUUAAAGCCCAUUUCCUCUUUAUUUUCUUGUACUUAAGCUUUUCUUCUUCUCUGUAAACAAUCAUCGAAAACGAUCAACAACAAUGACGAAAGUCUAAUUUCUUCUUUCUUCUCCAAUUCUCUUCUCAUCUUAACUCUGUUCUUCCACUUCUUAUCUACUUUCUGUUACUUUUCUUGAUAGAACCAAAUCCGGUUCUAUCAUACCUCAUCACGACGCAAUUCUUUCUUUAGGGCCGAAUAGCUCACCACCCACCGUCGAAUUGAGCUUUUUGAUUGAUGGCUGCUACAUUAUUCAACUGUAGUUCACAACAUGGUAACUCGAGUGUGCUCCGGUAACGAAGUGAAUGAGUGAGGCCAAGAGGAUUUGGGCAACCAAGUGAAUGGAGAAAGAGAGCUUCAGGGAUUUUCCGAGGAGCUCGCGAAUCGGCAGCGGAGAUGGAGCGGUGGGUGGAGUAAUUGUUAGGAUUUUGAAGAUGAGCUACAGGAGGUCGGAAGAAGAAAUUAGGAUUAGGAUUUGGAGGAGGAACGUGGUGGAAGACUAUCGGAUUAGGGAUAUGAUAGUGUGGAAACGACGGUGGCCGAUCCAUGAGUUCCGGUGACGGCGAACUUCACUGAAAACUCUGUGAAUUUGUGUGUGAUUUAAAACGAUACAUUUUUGUUUGCAUACUUUAAUUGGAUAUAGUGCCCAUUUAAUCAGGCCCAUUAAUCUUUUAAUUGGGCUCAUUCUCUAUUUUCUUAAACUAGGUUAAAAACAACCGACAUGCUAAUUAAAGCCAGCAAAAUGAUCUUAGCUAAAAGACAUUCCAUUUCUUGGAGUGAAGAUUGA